CAGUAAAUCACAGUCUUCCUUA
rnacentral:miRNA from 1 species